GAUGAACGCUGGCGGCGUGCCUAAUACAUGCAAGUCGAGCGAACAGAUGAGGAGCUUGCGGCUCUGACGUUAGCGGCGGACGGGUGAGUAACACGUGUAUAAUCUACCUAUAUGACGGGUAUAACUUCGGGAAACCGGAGCUAAUACCGGAGAAGAUAUUGAACCGCAGGGUGCAAUAGUGAAAGACGGCUGUGCUGUCUCUUAUCGAUGCAUCCGGGCCGGAUUAGCUAGUUGGGAAGUUAACGGCCUAGCACGGGAACUAUGCGUAGCCGACGGCAGAGGGUGAUAGGCCGCCUGAGAGCUGGACCGCGGUCAAGGCUACUACGGGAGGCAGCAGUAGGGAACCUUACGCAAUGGGCGAAAGCAUGGCGGAGCGAGCCCGCGUGAGAGGUGACGGUCUUCGGAUCGUAAUGACCUGUUAUUAGUGAUAAACCGAUGUGUACGGAACUAUGCCCGUCUUGACGGUACCUGAUCAGAAAGCCCCGGCUAACUACGUG
rnacentral:rRNA from 1 species